GACGAACGCUGGCGGCGUGCCUAAUACAUGCAAGUAGAACGCAGUUGCGAACGGGUGAGUAACGCGUAGGUAACUGCCUCAUAGCGGGGGAUAACUAUUGGAAACGAUAGCUAAUACCGCAUACUGUGAGAUGGACCUGCGUUGUAUUAGCUAGUUGGUGAGGUAAAGGCUCACCAAGGCGACGAUACAUAGCCGACCUGAGAGGGUGAUCGGCCAACCUGGGACUGGGACACGGCACAGACGGCCUGGGGAGGGAGCAAGAGGGAAUCUUCGGGAAUGGGCGGAAGUCAGACCGAGAAAGGCCGCGGGAGUGAGGAAGGUCUCCGGGUCGGAAAGGUCUGUUGUUAGGGAAUCGGUAACUAAACAGAAAGGGACGGCUAACUACGUGCCAGCAGCCGCGGUAAUAC
rnacentral:rRNA from 1 species